UACGUAGGGUGCGAGCGUUAAUCGGAAUUACUGGGCGUAAAGCGUGCGCAGGCGGUUUUGUAAGCCAGAUGUGAAAGCCCGGGCUUAACCUGGGAAUGGCAUUUGGGACUGCAAGGCUCGAGUGCGGCAGAGGAGACUGGAAUUCCUGGUGUAGCAGUGAAAUGCGUAGAGAUGUGGAGGAACACCGAUGGCGAAGGCAGCCCCUGGGCCAAUACUGACGCUCAUGCACGAAAGCGUGGGGAGCAAACAGG
rnacentral:rRNA from 1 species